rfam:Aedes albopictus isolate Foshan contig103419, whole genome shotgun sequence.
UGUUCUGUGGCUUAGUUGGUUAAAGUUCCGUUCUAGUGAAUACGGAGUCGUGGGUUCGAAUCUCACCAGAUUGA